CCUACGGGAGGCAGCAGUGGGGGAUAUUGCACAAUGGGGGAAACCCUGAUGCAGCGACGCCGCGUGGGUGAAGAAGCGCCUCGGCGCGUAAAGCCCUGUCAGCAGGGAAGAAAAUGACGGUACCUGAAGAAGAAGCCCCGGCUAACUACGUGCCAGCAGCCGCGGUAAAACGUAGGGGGCAAGCGUUAUCCGGAUUUACUGGGUGUAAAGGGGGCGCAGACGGCGAUGCAAGCCAGGAGUGAAAGCCCGGGGCCCAACCCCGGGACUGCUCUUGGAACUGUGUGGCUAGAGUGCAGGAGGGGCAGGCGGAAUGCCUGGUGUAGCGGUGAAAUGCGUAGAUAUCAGGAGGAACACCGGUGGCGAAGGCGGCCUGCUGGACUGCAACUGACGUUGAGGCCCGAAAGCGUGGGGAGCAAACAGGAUUAGAUACCCCAGUAGUC
rnacentral:rRNA from 1 species